rnacentral:rRNA from 1 species
CCUACGGGAGGCAGCAGUGGGGAAUAUUGCACAAUGGGGGAAACCCUGAUGCAGCGACGCCGCGUGAGUGAAGAAGUAUUUCGGUACGUAAAGCUCUAUCAGCAGGGAAGAAAAUGACGGUACCUGACUAAGAAGCCCCGGCUAACUACGUGCCAGCAGCCGCGGUAAUACGUAGGGGGCAAGCGUUAUCCGGAUUUACUGGGUGUAAAGGGAGCGUAGACGGCAGCGCAAGUCUGGAGUGAAAUGCCAUGGCUUAACCAUGGAACUGCUUUGGAAACUGUGCAGCUAGAGUGCAGGAGAGGUAAGCGGAAUUCCUAGUGUAGCGGUGAAAUGCGUAGAUAUUAGGAGGAACACCAGUGGCGAAGGCGGCUUACUGGACUGUAACUGACGUUGAGGCUCGAAAGCGUGGGGAGCAAACAGGAUUAGAUACCCGAGUAGUC